rnacentral:rRNA from 1 species
GACGAACGCUGGCGGCGUGCUUAACACAUGCAAGUCGAACGGUGAAGGGGUCUGCUUUUGUGGGCCCUGGAUGAGUGGCGAACGGGUGAGUAACACGUGAGUAACCUGCCCCCUUCUUCUGGAUAACCGCAUGAAAGUGUUGCUAAUACGGGAUAUUCUGGGUCUGUCGCAUGAUGGGUCUGGGAAAGAUUGCGCCUUUGGGUGUUUUUGGUGGGGGAUGGGCUCGCGGCCUAUCAGCUUGUUGGUGGGGUGAUGGCCUACCAAGGCGGUGACGGGUAGCCGGCCUGAGAGGGUGGACGGUCACACUGGGACUGAGACACGGCCCAGACUCCUACGGGAGGCAGCAGUGGGGAAUAUUGCACAAUGGGCGCAAGCCUGAUGCAGCGACGCCGCGUGAGGGAUGGAGGCCUUCGGGUUGUAAACCUCUUUCGCCAGUGAAGCAGGCCUGCUCCUUGUGGGUGGGUUGACGGUAGCUGGAUAAGAAGCGCCGGCUAACUACGUG